UACCUAUGAAAAAGUAUUUUCAUAGGUAAUUAAGGUAUAUUUUAGAGAUCCUCCUAAUUACUGAUGAGUGCAUAGAAUACACUUGUAGCUGUUUUGAGGAUCAGAUUUUUGACCAGUGAGUGCAACCUCUGUCACAAUCCAAAGCGAUGUCAACUGUGCUUUAUGUUUCCAUAGAUUUAAGUGUGUAACUUUCUCUGUAUGAUGGCUUUUGAAGACAGCAGUCUAAGUGCCUGUCAAUUAUUUACAACAAUAUGUAUUGGCAACAUCUCAGAGUAUCCACAAGAUUUACUGCCACUGCUGGGUUUGACAAACCUGAAGUUCAAAAGCUAGUCACUUUAAACAAGGUACUGCCAAGAAAGGGGAAAAAAUAUUCAUAUCAACAGCCAUGAUCCAGAGGCUCCACCUGCCACUGAUCUGAGCCCCAACAAAAAAAGAAAUUGUCCACAAAUGGAACAGCAGAUGCAAUCUUAGGACAUCUCGACAGACAAGACUUACCGGACUUCAAUCAAAGUGUGGCAAGUCCCAGACAUGUAAAAGUAGAAAAAUCAUAGAGAAAAGGCCGAUUCAGCAUGAAUUCAGCAACACAGCAGCUGUCCAAACAAUGUUUAGAACUCUUUGAUAUAAUAUUUACUCUGAAUGUUUCCCUUCUCCUCUCCUACCAA